GGCUUACUAAACCAAACCAGGAAUGUCACCCAAUUGUCAGUUCGCUUUCCCUGAAUCGCACUUCAGUUUCUGAGCGUGUGACUCGCAAAGACUUUUGAACUUCCUGGCCUCUGGGACUGCGUUGCCAAUUCAUUGGAAGUCUUAAAAAAUAGGGCGAAGGCAAAGCUUGUGCCAAAAUGAAGGUUUUUGCCCUGAUCGUUUUGCUGAUCAGCAUCUGCUAUGUACAAGGUGGCUUAGUGAAACGGCAAGCGGAGACAGGACCCGAGGGUGGAGUCGAAGUCAUCUGGUUCCCUCAGUUCACUGAACGCAGACAAGAACCCCAGCGAUUGCCUUCACCCUUGGACAGACCUCAGGAAGCCAGACUAGAGAUUCUUAAAAUAAGGUUUAAAGAAUAGAAUAGAAUAGAAUAGAAUAGAAUAGAAUAGAAUAGAAUAGAAUAGAAUAGAAUAGAAUAGAAUAGAAUAGAAUACAGUAGAGUAGAGUAGAGUAGAGUAGAAUUUUGGAAUAGAAUUUUGGAAUAGACUAGACUAGAAUUUUAGAAUAGAAUAGAAUUGAAUUUUCGAAUAGAAUAUAGAAUAGAAUUUUAGGAUAGAAUUGAAUUGAACUGAAUUUUGGAAUAGAAUAUAGAAUAGAAUAGAAUUUUGGAAUAGAAUAGAAUAGAAUUUUGGAAUAGAAUAGAACAGAAUAGAAUAGAAUUUUGGAAUAGAAUAGAAUAGAAUAGAAUUUUGAAAUAGAAUAUAGAAUAGAAUAGAAUUUUAGAAUAGAGUAGAAUUGAAUUUUGGAAUAGAAUAGAAUAAAAUUUUGGAAUAGAAUAUAGAAUAGAAUAGAAUUUUAGAAUAGAAUUGAAUUGAAUUUUGGAAUAGAAUAUAGAAUAGAAUAGAAUUUUGGAAUAGAAUAGAACAGAAUAGAAUAGAAUUUUGGAAUAGAGUAGAAUUGAAUUUUGGAAUAGAAUAUAGAAUAUAGAAUAGAACAGAACAGAAAAGAACAGAACAGAAUAGAAUAGAAUUUUGGAAUAGAAUAGAAUAGAACAGAAUUUUAGAACAGAACAGAACAGUUGGAAGGGACCUUGGCGGUCUUCUAGUCCAGCCCCCUGCUCAACCACAACCAUCAUAAAUACAAACUAGUUGUCAAGCAUCCAAACGCAAAUCCCGUGACCCUGGGGGAAUGCUGCAACAGUCAUUCGUGUGGGGGGAAAAAACAGUCAUAAUUCACUUUUUUCAGUGCAGUUGUGACUUCGAACGGUCCCUAAAAGAAUUGCAGGACAGCGCUCCAGCAAGUCCAGGACAGCUUUAACCCUCUCACCGGACAGGUGAGGCAAAAUGUGGGCCGACAGUUCACCAUACCUGGUUAGACUCAGCAAGGCGACGAAGAAGGCGUAGAUUCUUCUCAAAAUGGAGUUCUCCGUUUCCUUCGGUCUAUUUAUCAAAAUCCUGGCACUUUUCCCUGAAUCGAAACUGUUGAGACCCUAAGACUGGUCGCAAUAAAGAUAAAUCGGUUCUUC